rnacentral:tRNA from 1 species
AAGUAAGAAGUGAACUAUCACGAUCAAUUUCGACUUGAUUUAAAUUGGUAAAAAUUACCCUUGCUUU